rnacentral:rRNA from 1 species
UACCUGUGGUAAUUCUAGAGCUAAUACAUGCAACUAGGCUCCGACACCGCGUUGAAAUACUUAGCCUAUUUAGUUAGGCGGUACUUUCAGCUACACGCGGUCGAAGGGCGCAGUUAUUAGAAUCGAGAUAGACGUUGAAGUUUAACCCAUUCGCUAAAGAUUGGCUCUUACUUCUCUUAUCUUGGUGACUCUGAAUAACCCAGCCGAGCGCAAAGGUUUCUUUUACAAGAGCCCGCGCCGUAUCCAUAGAGCGUCUGCCUUAUCAGCUCAAGAUUGUAAGUCAAAAGCUUACAAUGGCUGUUACGGGUAACGGGGAAUCAGGGUUCGAUUCCGGAGAGGGAGCCUGAGAAACGGCUACCACAUCUAAGGAAGGCAGCAGGCGCGCAAAUUACCCACUCCCGGCACGGGGAGGUAGUGACGAAAAAUAACGAUGCGGGACUCUUCCGAGGCCUCGCGAUCGUAAUGAGACUAACUUAAAUCCUUAAGUCAAGGAUCAAUUGGAGGGCAAGCCUGGUGCCAGCAGCCGCGGUAAUUCCAGCUCCAAUAGCGUAUAUUAAAAUUGCUGCAGUUAAAAAGCUCGUAGUUGAAUUUCGCUUUUCGGAUUCGGUGAAGGUGUUCGAGUUAAGGUUUUACCGGUACUCGCUUCGCGGUGAUAAUUUCUUCGCCGUAGAGGUCGUAGCUAUUUGGUGCCUUUCGACUCCUUACUAAACUCCGUAUACCGAAAAUGCAAUUGACCGUCGGCUCUCGCGKGGGACUGCUCUUAACCGAGUGACCCGCGCGUCGCCGACAAUUUCACUUUGAGAAAAUUAAAGUGCUCAAAGCGGGUAACUACCCAGAUAAGGGUCGCGGAGUGUCGUUUCUUUUUUUUUAAAAAGAUCGCGCUUCCGACCUUAUGAUGCCCGAAUGGUGAUGCAUGGAAUGAAGGAAUAGGACCUCGGUUCUGUCCUUAUUUAUAUAUCGAAUAUACCACCGGUAAUUGAGGUAAUGAUUAACGGAUACAGCCGGGGGCUUAGGUAUUGCGACGCGAGAGGUGAAAUUCUUGGACCGUCGCAAGACCACCUACUGCGAAAGCAUUUGCCAAGAAUGUUUUCAUUAAUCAGGAACGAAAGUUAGAGGUUCGAAGGCGAUCAGAUACCGCCCUAGUUCUAACCGUAAACGAUGCUAACCAGCAAUCCGCCCGAGUCAACUGAACGUACGACCGGGCGGGUCGCCCCAGGGAAACCUCAAGUUUUUGAGCUCUGGGGGGAGUAUGGUUGCAAAGCUGAAACUUAAAGGAAUUGACGGAAGGGCACCACCAGGAGUGGAGCCUGCGGCUUAAUUUGACUCAACACGGGAAAACUUACCAGGUCCAGACGCCUGAAGGAUUGACAGAUUAAAAGCUCUUUCUUGAUUCGGUGGGUGGUGGUGCAUGGCCGUUCUUAGUUGGUGGAGCGAUUUGUCUGGUUGAUUCCGAUAACGAACGAGAUUCUAUCCUAUUAAAUAGCAGGCCGAUUGUCUCUCGCACGUAUGCUCUUUGCCUUCCAAUCGGUUGGUGACGGGAUUUCGGGCGGCGGCGGCGGCGGUAGUGGCAGGGACAUUGUUUCUGUCGCCCGUCGUCAUUAAACCGUUUGUUCGUGCCCCCGCCUUCCGAAAAUAAUUGGUUGUUCGAAGGGUAUCGUUGCGCCGAGCGUCGAAGUCAUCUUCUUAGAGGAAUUGGCGGUCUAUAUGCAGCCGUAAGAGAAAGAGCGAUAACAGGUCUGUGAUGCCCUUCGAUGUUCUGGGCUGCACGCGCGCUACAAUGCUGGGAUCAGCGCGCAAUCACAUUCCCCCUCCGAGAGGAGCGGGUAACCGUUGGAAUUCCACAACUCGUUUGGGACUGGGGAUUGAAAUUCUUCCCCACGAACGAGGAAUUCCUAGUAAGCGCGGUUCAUUAACCCGCGUUGAUUAAGUCCCUGCCCUUUGUACACACCGCCCGUCGCUACUACCGAUUGAAUGAUUCAGUGAGGAUAUUGGACUGUCGCCUCGAGUUUUUUUAGACUCUUGACGGCUGACGGAAAGAUAUCCGAACUUGGUCAUUUAGAGGAAGUAAAAGUCG